GGGGAAAAAAAAAAAAAAGGAGAGAAGGGCGAAGUGGAGGCCAAACUUCUCUCCCUCUUUUUCCUCCGGAGCUUCUCGCCCUCCCGGCCGGCCCCAGCAUCGCCCCCAGCGCUCCCAGCCACGGCUGUCAAAUUUUGGAGCAAGCUGGAGGGAAAAGACUUCUCCAGCCUCCUUUGCCGCAGCGACCAGUGUCUCAUGCAGCUACAGCCAUUGACUCAGUGACGAGAUGUGGCCAUCAACGGCGGGAGUCGAGCUGAACCCCUCCGGAUACCGAGAGCAGGAUGGGACCCUCCAACCCCCAGAGGAGCUGAUAUCUAGGGCUGAGAUCACCCUGGAAUUUGGCUGUAAAUGACCCCAUCAGAUUGGGCACCAAGAGAGGAAAUGCCUCCACAAAGGCUUUGUGGAGGUUUCUUGUCUUCUCUUUAUUAAUCACGGAAAGGAAAACAGGUCCUUUCCCCUUCCCAUAAAUCUUGCGGUGGCGUCAGCUCUGUUUGUAAAGCUCUUGGCUCACGCCGCUUCCCUGCUCCGCUCCUUCGGCAACGGAGAAUUAGGGGAGGAAAAACCGUCCUUGCCCGCAUUCCUGCUCGGCAGCACUAAGCUCAUGUGAGGUGUUAAGCACAUGCUUAAAGUUAUGCAAAUGUUUCCGUGCUUCAUCAAGCCUGGACAUUAAAAUCAUAAGAUUUGCUUUAAAUUCCGGAGGCGAAUUACCUGGUGCCCCUGGAGGCUCUUUGCCUCCUUAGUUUUGAGGAUUUAGAGAUGGGUUUUCUCCAGCUACAAGGAGGAGAAACUUUAUCUUUCCAGGGAAGAUUGAGACUCCUGUCCUCCCUCCCCUGUGUCGAGGCAGGGUCUGGUGCCUCUAUCGCAAGGUUCCUGAUAACUUGUCAAGAAGCCCAAAUUCCUGAACGUAGGAUGGGUUAUCAACAUUUUUAAAUUAAUCUAAGCUAAGAGCGAACUCAAUGUUUCCGUUAGCUUUGAUGGACCAUCUUUAGGUCUGUUUCAUGGAAACCCAAUAAUCUCCAGUCUAACCUCUCUCUUUUUGUUGUUAGUGGUGGAGAUGCAAAGCCCUCGCUGGACUCAGAGGCCGGUCAAAUAUUUCUGAUCACCUUGUUGCUCUUUCUUAUGACGCACAUGGCUCUGAUCUCCGUCCAUCCAAGACCAAAAGAGAUGGAGGAAAGUCUGGGCUUUGGAAUUAGGGCUGGAGCUGGCACAGCUCCUUGCACAACCCGAGGUAUCCUCCAAAUACGGUCAAAAUAUUACUGCUGUCUUCACGUCUUCUAAAUGUCUUCUUUCCAUUAGUUGAUGGACAGAUAUUGAAGUAUCUCAGCAGAGGGAUGUUAAAUGCAUCUAAUAUGAACCACUCUCAAGGUAACCAUUACUAUCUCUUAAAAACAUUUUAUUACAAAGGCAAAUGCAUGUUUUAGCAAUGCUCAGAUGGCUACUUAACGUCAUGUUUACCCUGGGCCAGCCACUUCUCAAAAUGAAUGAGACUUCAAGUUCCACGUCCCCCCUUUGCUUAAUGGAUUUAAAGUUGUUUAAAUCAUCAGCUACCGUGGAAACAUUUCACUUAGAACGGGGGGCCUAUUUCUCUCCAUUAAAAAUUCAUUCGUCACAAGCAGGGGACGAGUCUUUCCAGAAAGCCCCCAUGGAGAACAAAAAUGUCCGCUCUAGGUCACGGUUGCGAUUUGGCCAUUUCCAUGCAGGAAUGGGACACUUGUUGGCAGGACAGGCCCGAAAUCUGCCGAGAGGCAAAGAUGUGGGUCAUAAAGUCCGUCCCCCCAUCCGUCCUUGCCGGGAUGAGUGCUGGGGUGCCCAAGGCACGUGGUUAAAUCCUUGGUCCCUCUUCCUUCUCCCAUGGCCCCUCUUCAGAGCUGGACACCCUGACCCCCAGCCCACGUCUCCCCACCUCCCUCCCAAGACACUCGGCCCCCACAGUCCCCCCCGGGCUGGGGAGACGGUGGAGAGCUGUUGGUGGGGGACGGGCUGGUGGGACAGGCCACUGCCCGGUGUCACCACGGAGCACGGAGAAGGACCACGUUGACCUUGGAGAACAGGCGGGCAGCGAGGAGCAAAGCCCGGCCGUGGGGUCAGCACCGCAGAGCCUGCGGCGGUGUCGGAUCCUGCUCCUGUGGUUUUGCAGGUGCUGAGAAUUGGGAUACUAAGGUGGGACUGGAGAAGAAUUCCCUGACAACACGUGCAACCAGCUGCCGCGAGGCCCAAGAGCUGCGAUGGACUCGCCAUCCCCAGCGACUACUGUAUCUAAACACCUUGCUCUCAGAUGUGUCCCCUGGCCCAGACAGGAGAAACCCUGCAGCAGAAAUACCAACUUCACCCUCACAAUUAUCCCUCUGAUUUCCUUUGAACCCAUAAAAUUAACAGCUGCCCCCCAAUCCAGAAGAGGAACUGCAUCUCUGUGGCAACGGCAGACCCGCUCGCUGCUCGCCGGCACAGUGUUUCCAAACACGCGCACGGAUCGGCGCCGUGCUCGGUGGGAACGCAGACGUCGCCAGGCUGGAUCAGGUCCCUUCCUGGCUAGUCCGGCAUAUCCAGGGCAGGAGGUUCGGAAAAAGGAAAAAGCUCUUUCCAGGGGCCCCGUGUGAAAUAAACUGCAGAUCCUCCCAUCCCACUUGGCUCGUGGAAGGGACGUGGUCAGGGCAGGGUUGGAGCAGGGUGAGACGUCGUCAUCCCUUUGCCAUCAGCCUGGCCGUCGUCUUGAGCCAUUUUGGUUGUCCAGAAGACGAGGUCCCACCUAACCUCACCUCGGUGGGGCCAUUGAGGAGCCAGGUCUUGGCCUAAGCUGGUCCUCAGGGCUUGCUUGGCUGCCGAGGGGGAGCAUCUCAGAGGGGUUUGGCCCAUCCUUGGGUGGGCACGGGAGAAAAAUGGGUUGACUUGCUCCCCAGAGGCAGUGACCCCUCGGCACAAGGGUUGAAGUCCUCCCGUCCGGAGGGCAGGGAGAUGAGCAGAUCCCCCUGGAAGCUACCCCGCUCUCCCCAAAGCCCUGGAACGGGUUGCCCAGGGAGCUUGUGAAGGCUUUAUCCUUGGAGAUACUCAAAGGCCGUCUGGACACGGUCCUGGGCAACCCCUUCUAGGUGACCCUGUCUGAGCAGGGGCUUGGACUAGACGCUCUCCAGAGGUCCAACCUCAACCACUCCGCGAUUCCCUAAAACGGGACAGCCAGGGGCGAGGGCGGCGCGAUCCCAGCGCGGGGCCGGCUUGGCCCCUUGCCUUCCCCCGGAGCAGAGCAGGAGUCGGCGGAGCCGGCUGCCGCCCCUCGGCCGAGCUCUCAACGCCCGCCCCGAGCUGGACGGCCUCGCGUUCGGCUCCCCGGAGACCUGUUCGCUCCCUGACACGGGACGUUCCGCAUACCAGAACCUUCCCUCUAAUUCGCUGAGAUAACACGGAGCAAAGCCUCGACGGAAACCGCUCCAGCUGGACCGGGCUGAGAUCACAGUUCGGGCCGGAUGCCAGCAGAAGGGUAUUUUUUUCCCCGCUCGCCUUAAUCUUGAAGAAAAGGAGAGAAACACAUGUACUUCCAGGGAGAGCAAGACUCGCGCAGCAAGAAGGAUUGGAGACAAUUACAGAGCCCGGCGCGGAGCCUUCCACAUCUUUCAUUAUAUCCGCAAAAUUAAAACACGCGGAGUGAACAUCGAAAAUUUGCUGGCUAAUAACAGAAGUAAAAAGUUGUUAAUCAGGCACGUGACCCUAUAAAAUAAAGGGAAUAAUUGAAAAGAUAUCUAAUUUAUCUAUUGAAUGCCUCCAACGCUCUCUUUAUCACUUAGAUGGACAGAAUAUAAUUGGUACGGUGAAAGCCAUCAAUCUUAGGAAGUGGGCUUUCUGUACAAGAUACAACUAUUACUGUCAUAUUAUGACACCAUAAUAUCAAGAUCAAUGACAUUUUAAAUGCACUCCAGUUAUGGGCAAUUGGUGACAAUAAAAACAGUGACAAAUUGAUGAAACAAGCGCCAAAUGAUCUGGUGUCUAAAAUAAACCAUAAAUAAUCUUCUUAAAAAAUAUAUAUCCGCCAAAUUCGCAGUCAUCAGGGGUGGGGGACGUAUGACUCCUUCGACUGAUCAAUUUAGCCAGAGUGUGUUUUCCAGUGCUGAAUUAUCCGAUGGACUGCGAUUUUCUUGAAGGGGCAACUUUCUGAUGUGAUUUAGGGGUCAUUCCCAUGCAGUUUAAUAAUGUUAUCGUUAGCAUAAUUGUUGCCAUAAAAAGAAAGGUUAUCAUUUAGAAACGAAAGUUCCUCUCAGCUGAAGAGUCAACAUGAUUGCACAGUAAACACCAAUGCAUUUUUUAAAUAUUAUGGCAUGAGGACAGCGCUAUUCCCCCGUGGUGGCCAUGGCCCUUAAAUAAAAAUAAUAACAGCAACAGCAAUAAUGUUUGGAUCUUUAUAGAGCUUUCCGCUUGCAAACCUGGCCGUGCUCCUCAACUAGCAUCUUCUUGCUGCUAAGGGGGAAAACUGGGGGGUGAGAGUGUGCUGUUUUGGCCAUCGCU